CCACAGCCAAGGGAACGGGC
rnacentral:ncRNA from 3 species